rnacentral:lncRNA from 1 species
CACAAGAAGUUUCUAAGUGUAGGGAGGGACCAACAAUUACACUAUUCACCUAUGAAGCAAUACCUUUGAUACACCCUCAACAACUUUAAUUCCUCUAAUGUGAAAUCAACUGCCUAUGGGACUUAACUAUUUCAAUAGAUAGGCAUCGAAAUACAGAUCUGAUAUAUAUAUAUAUAUAUGUAGUCAAAGUUGAGCAACACUAAGAAACAAUUUUGGCUGCACAUUUAGU